rnacentral:miRNA from 1 species
UUUGGUGUUGAAGGGGAAUAA